rnacentral:snRNA from 1 species
GUGCACCCUUCAGUAUCAUAGGCAGUAGAAUUGGAAUGAUACAAAGAAGAUUAACAUGGCUGCUAUGCAAGGAUGAGACAUAAAUUUGUGAAGCAUGUCAUAUUUCU